AUGGUGGGCAGUUUGACUGGGGCGGUCGCCUCCCAAAGAGUAACGGAGGCGCGCGAUGGUAAGCUCAAGACGGUCGGACAUCGUCUGUUGAGUGCAAUGGCAUAAGCUUGCCUGACUGCGAGAGUGACAACUCGAGCAGAGACGAAAGUCGGUCAUAGUGAUCCGGUGGUCCCGCGUGGAAGGGCCAUCGCUCAACGGAUAAAAGGUACGCCG
rnacentral:rRNA from 1 species